UCUUCGUGGGUGACAGCGGGUCUGCCAACUUGCGGAUCCCCUCGGGACGGGGACGCCCUCCCGCAGUUACUGCCCUGGGAUUGCGUGUACGUUGGCUGCUCAGGCAACGCGUGGGCAUAUCUACGUUUGAAGAAGUCUUCUGAAGUCAGCCUCUUUGCCAUCAUUCCUUAGCAAGCAGCGAAAGCCAAGCUGGCAGUGAAGUUGAAUGGAGGAGACAGUUGGCUCCAGCUUUCCCUCUUGGAGUUUUUGCAAUGAACAAAACCCGCAAGAAGCUUGGACUUUUUUUUUUCCCCCUCCGAUAUUCUAGUUUCAUA